UACGGGGGGGGGCAAGCGUUGUUCGGAAUUACUGGGCGUAAAGGGCUCGUAGGCGGCCAACUAAGUCAGACGUGAAAUCCCUCGGCUUAACCGGGGGAACUGCGUCUGAUACUGGAUGGCUUGAGUUCGGGAGAGGGAAGCGGAAUUCCGGGUGUAGCGGUGAAAUGCGUAGAUAUCCGGAGGAACACCGGUGGCGAAGGCGGCUUCCUGGACCGACACUGACGCUGAGGCGCGAAAGCUAGGGGAGCAAACGGG
rnacentral:rRNA from 1 species